rnacentral:misc_RNA from 1 species
UACGUAGGUGGCGAGCGUUGUCCGGAAUUACUGGGUGUAAAGGGCGUGUAGGCGGGAAUGUAAGUCAGAUGUGAAAUUCCGGGGCUCAACCCCGGCGCUGCAUCUGAAACUGCGUUUCUUGAGUGCUGGAGAGGAAAGCGGAAUUCCUAGUGUAGCGGUGAAAUGCGUAGAUAUUAGGAGGAACACCAGUGGCGAAGGCGGCUUUCUGGACAGUAACUGACGCUGAGGCGCGAAAGCGUGGGGAGCAAACAGG